UAAGGCCCUUCGGGGUACACGAGCGGCGAACGGGUGAGUAACACGUGAGCAACCUGCCCCUGACUCUGGGAUAAGCGGUGGAAACGCCGUCUAAUACCGGAUACGACCCGCCACCUCAUGGUGGAGGGUGGAAAGUUUUUCGGUCAGGGAUGGGCUCGCGGCCUAUCAGCUUGUUGGUGGGGUAACGGCCUACCAAGGCGAUUACGGGUAGCCGGCCUGAGAGGGCGACCGGCCACACUGGGACUGAGACACGGCCCAGACUCCUGCGGGAGGCAGCAGUGGGGAAUAUUGCGCAAUGGGCGAAAGCCUGACGCAGCGACGCCGCGUGGGGGAUGACGGCCUUCGGGUUGUAAACCUCUUUUACCACCAACGCAGGCUCGAAGUUCUCUUCGGGUUGACGGUAGGUGGGGAAUAAGGACCGGCUAACUACGUGCCAGCAGCCGCGGUAAUACGUAGGGUCCGAGCGUUGUCCGGAAUUAUUGGGCGUAAAGAGCUCGUAGGCGGCGUGUCGCGUCUGCUGUGAAAGACCGGGGCUUAACUCCGGUUCUGCAGUGGAUACGGGCAUGCUAGAGGUAGGUAGGGGAGACUGGAAUUCCUGGUGUAGCGGUGAAAUGCGCAGAUAUCAGGAGGAACACCGGUGGCGAAGGCGGGUCUCUGGGCCUUACCUGACGCUGAGGAGCGAAAGCAUGGGGAGCGAACAGGAUUAGAUACCCUGGUAGUCCAUGCCGUA
rnacentral:rRNA from 1 species